AUAGGGGAGCCGUAGCGAAAGCGAGUCUUAACUGGGCGCUCAGUCUCUGGAUAUAGACCCGAAACCGGGUGAUCUAGCCAUGGGCAGGUUGAAGGUUGAGUAACAUCAACUGGAGGACCGAACCGACUAAUGUUGAAAAAUUAGCGGAUGACUUGUGGCUAGGGGUGAAAGGCCAAUCAAACUCGGAGAUAGCUGGUUCUCCCCGAAAGCUAUUUAGGUAGCGCCUCGGACGAAUACUACUGGGGGUAGAGCACUGUUAAGGCUAGGGGGUCAUCCCGACUUACCAACCCUUUGCAAACUCCGAAUACCAGUAAGUACUAUCCGGGAGACACACGGCGGGUGCUAACGUCCGUCGUGGAGAGGGAAACAACCCAGACCGCCAGCUAAGGUCCCAAAGUAUUGCUAAGUGGGAAACGAUGUGGGAAGGCUCAGACAGCUAGGAUGUUGGCUUAGAAGCAGCCAUCAUUUAAAGAAAGCGUAAUAGCUCACUAGUCGAGUCGGCCUGCGCGGAAGAUGUAACGGGGCUAAGCAAUACACCGAAGCUGCGGCAAUGUCUUUUAGACAUUGGGUAGGGGAGCGUUCUGUAAGCCGUUGAAGGUGAAUCGUAAGGUUUGCUGGAGGUAUCAGAAGUGCGAAUGCUGACAUGAGUAACGACAAAGGGGGUGAAAAACCUCCUCGCCGGAAGACCAAGGGUUCCUGUCCAACGUUAAUCGGGGCAGGGUGAGUCGACCCCUAAGGUGAGGCCGAAAGGCGUAAUCGAUGGGAAACGGGUUAAUAUUCCCGUACUUCUGACUAUUGCGAUGGGGGGACGGAGAAGGCUAGGUGGGCCAGGCGACGGUUGUCCUGGUUCAAGUGCGUAGGCUUGAGAGUUAGGUAAAUCCGGCUCUCUCUAAGGCUGAGACACGACGUCGAGCUACUACGGUAGUGAAGUCAUUGAUGCCAUGCUUCCAGGAAAAGCCUCUAAGCUUCAGAUAGUCAGGAAUCGUACCCCAAACCGACACAGGUGGUCGGGUAGAGAAUACCAAGGCGCUUGAGAGAACUCGGGUGAAGGAACUAGGCAAAAUGGUACCGUAACUUCGGGAGAAGGUACGCUCUUGAUGGUGAAGUCCCUCGCGGAUGGAGCUGACGAGAGUCGCAGAUACCAGGUGGCUGCAACUGUUUAUUAAAAACACAGCACUGUGCAAAAUCGCAAGAUGACGUAUACGGUGUGACGCCUGCCCGGUGCCGGAAGGUUAAUUGAUGGGGUUAGCGCAAGCGAAGCUCUUGAUCGAAGCCCCGGUAAACGGCGGCCGUAACUAUAACGGUCCUAAGGUAGCGAAAUUCCUUGUCGGGUAAGUUCCGACCUGCACGAAUGGCGUAAUGAUGGCCACGCUGUCUCCACCCGAGACUCAGUGAAAUUGAAAUCGCUGUGAAGAUGCAGUGUACCCGCGGCUAGACGGAAAGACCCCGUGAACCUUUACUACAGCUUGGCACUGAACAUUGAACCUACAUGUGUAGGAUAGGUGGGAGGCUAUGAAGACGUGACGCCAGUUGCGUUGGAGCCGUCCUUGAAAUACCACCCUUGUAUGUUUGAUGUUCUAACUUAGACCCAUUAUCUGGGUUGAGGACAGUGCCUGGUGGGUAGUUUGACUGGGGCGGUCUCCUCCCAAAGAGUAACGGAGGAGCACGAAGGUGGGCUAAUCACGGUUGGACAUCGUGAGGUUAGUGCAAUGGCAUAAGCCCGCUUAACUGCGAGAAUGACGGUUCGAGCAGGUGCGAAAGCAGGUCAUAGUGAUCCGGUGGUUCUGUAUGGAAGGGCCAUCGCUCAACGGAUAAAAGGUACUCCGGGGAUAACAGGCUGAUACCGCCCAAGAGUUCAUAUCGACGGCGGUGUUUGGCACCUCGAUGUCGGCUCAUCACAUCCUGGGGCUGAAGUCGGUCCCAAGGGUAUGGCUGUUCGCCAUUUAAAGUGGUACGCGAGCUGGGUUUAGAACGUCGUGAGACAGUUCGGUCCCUAUCUGCCGUGGGCGUUGGAAGAUUGAAGGGGGCUGCUCCUAGUACGAGAGGACCGGAGUGGACGAACCUCUGGUGUUCGGGUUGUGUCGCCAGACGCAUUGCCCGGUAGCUAAGUUCGGAAUUGAUAAGCGCUGAAAGCAUCUAAGCGCGAAGCGAGCCCUGAGAUGAGUCUUCCCUGACAGUUUAACUGUCCUAAAGGGUUGUUCGAGACUAGAACGUUGAUAGGCAGGGUGUGUAAGCGUUGUGAGGCGUUGAGCUAACCUGUACUAAUUGCCCGUGAGGCUUAACCAU
rnacentral:rRNA from 1 species